AGGGGAGCCUGGCACCUGGCAGUGUCAGAGUUGGGGGAGGGGCUGGGGGGCCACCCACACCCCUAAGGGCAGCCUGGAGCAGGAGAAGUACCUGCAGGCUGUGGUCAGCUCCAUGCCCCGCUACGCCGACGCGUCGGGACGCAACACGCUUAGCGGCUUCUCCUCAGCCCACAUGGGCAGUCACGGUGAGGGUGCUUGUGGGCAGACGGUGGGGCAGGGGCACUUUGGGGGGCCGUGGUGGCAUUUAUGGUUUGGCAGGCAGGCCAGGGAGGAGCAGAAACGGCGCUGGUCAUGGAUGUUUGGGUGUGGGAUGAGGAGCAUGCUCUCCAGGUGCCGUGGGGCAGGGGCGGGAAGCCUGUGCAGACCAGGUGUGUGUCCAGACCAGGUGUGUGCCCUGACCUCCUGCCCGUUCUCCACCUCUGCGUCUGCUGCAGCUUCCUGGAGGGUCCUCCGGGUGCUGCCUCUGCGCGGCUCUGUCUUACCGUUUCCCACAGCCUGGAAACAUCCCGGAUGCUCCUCUGUCCUGUCCCCUCCCAGUGUCACUGUUUUUCCUCAUCCCC
rnacentral:lncRNA from 1 species